rnacentral:lncRNA from 1 species
CGAAUCUCUGCGUGAGUGUGGGUCAUAAUUUUUGCUUUGGUUGUUUGAUAGAGGUUCGGUAGAACCGAAGCUCUGAAGUUGUUGGAUGAGAAUCAAGUUGUGAGAUAGUGGGGCGGUUUGUUAGUGGGAUAACGGGCAGAAUUGAGAUAUUUUUUAUCUUAUUUUGUUUUUGUUUUUCAAAAUUUUGGUUCUGUCUCUCUGAAAAUUCUGACAUCAGUUUCUACUCAUUUUUUUAACGUUUCUUCCUUGUUCUCCUUCUCUACAAUCUCUGAUUUUUUUCGUUCAUUUUCUUUUCCUUCAAAAUGUUUUUC